ACCGCGGGAGGGACGAAAACGGCGUCGAACCCUAGCCCCAAUCCAUAUCCCCGCGCCCCUCACUCCUCCCUCCCUCGUCCUCCGCCGCUCCCUCCCACCUCCUCCUCCUGCGCCCUAGGAGCCCCGCCGCCGACUGCUACUCCUCCACCGCCUAGCCUCUUCCUCCUCCUCGCCUUCCCAUCGCUCGCGCGCAGGCUGUCAUGGCCAAGCGCUUCGCGGGCUAACCCGUCUCCACCGCCUGUUCUGGGUUCGCGCGGGACGGGCUCCCCCGCCUCUUCCUCCUCGCGGCCGAGGUCGACGCCUCCGGAGUGAGUCGAGGGUGGGGGACGGGUCAAGGCUGCUGUUGGCGGCCUGGAUGCAGGCGAUGGUGGCGGUCGGCAGGGGUCUGGCGGGCGUGGCGGGUGAGGGAAGGAGCAGCAAGGCUGCAGGUCGUUCCAUGGCCGAAGAAUAGAUGGAAGAGGAUGAGGGGACGGAUGUGAGGGAGAGGAGGGAAGGGAUGGAUGGGGGAGGGAGAGGAGGGCCGGAGAACUAACCGCCUCUGCCGCCGCCGGUUGCUUCAGGGGAGUCAGGAGCGAGAUGGGGUCGCAGCGAGAGGAGCUCGUCCAGGAACGAGCGAACAGGUACGCGGGGUGUGGGCUGCGAGGCGUUUCCGAGCCUUUCCGAGCUUGUCCGCUCGGAAACCUCGCGCGAGCGGUGUAGGUGCGCUGGUGGAUCGCUUGGAAGGCCAAGUUUUCCAAGCCCAAAUCUUGCAGGUUUUCUUUCUCUGUGCCUAGGAUGUGUUUGAUGAAAAUCCAAGAAGGCUGAUAGGGGAGGAUUAAUCUAUGUUGCUUCUCCAUGAGUUUGGGUGUAGUUGCUUCUGCCCUGCAGCACCUUUGCUCAUUGGCCAUGUUGAUUGCUUAUCUUUUGUUCCCUUCACGUCAUUUGCUUGCUCAAGAUUCGUUGUUGUAAAAGGAUUGCAAAUUUUUUUUGCAGGUCGGUCUCUCUGGUUCUUUUUGCCGAUGGCCUGAUUUACGCACUGACAACCUCUUACUAUAACGAUUCGGCAUGCUUCUGUUUUAGAUAUGGGAUAUGAAGAAGGGGCGUUCAGCUGGGCCUCAACCGGCCAGACAUCGAGCUCCAGCAAGCACGUGUGCCUACCCUCCUUUGCCAUGAGUUCCUGCAACAACAGCAGAUUGUGUGUGUGUGGUACCAGCCAGAUAAAUACUACACAAAUCAUGUUCAUGACCUAGCAGGCGAUAACGGCGCCACGAGGAUUCGCUGCCGUGAGGAGGACCCCGACCCGUAUGAUGGCCACCGGAAGGUCACACACUUCUUUGGCUCGCUCAGACUGGCUCCAUUGACGGCUUCUCUAAGGUGUAUUUGUUGGGUUCCUCUUGGCGUGUUGAACAAAAAUUGGCGUUCAACACUGCUAUUUCAAGAUGGUUUGAUCAGUACUAGGGAAAACCCAUAGAUGGAAGGAAAUUAUUGUAGGUAUCUAAGAAUGCUGAUGAUUACACUCGGAGCAAGCCUUGUUGCGGCGCUGCAAGUGUUGCCCCCCUCCUCCCCAAGGGCAAGGUGAAGGAAGGUGCCUGUGUGCUUCUUCUGCAGCUCGCAGCGAGGAUUGCUGUGUCCAACCUGCACAAGAAUGCCAAGAAGUCUUUCUCGGAGACGAUUAAGGACAUGUACCUGCACUACAACGAGAGAUCUGGGCUGCUUCUUUGUGGCUUCCAAACUUGAAAUGUUUGUUUGGAAGUUAGUUUAGUUUUUUUUUUUGGAUUCACAGCUUCUCACAUGUAUCAUCCUCCUAGACCUUUAGAUUUCCAAAGAAACUAAAUGAAGAUAUGGUGGUAUGGUCUCAAUAGUACAACUUAAAGCCUUCCAUGCUUUAUAUUUUCUCUGAAAUUUUCUCUUGAAGAAUCAUGUAUCUAUGUUAGAUCCGGUGAGAAAAGGCGGCUUCCAAGUAGA